rnacentral:misc_RNA from 1 species
CUGAAUUUUUAGAUUUGAUUCAGUUUUCCUUAUAUUUUGAUUUGAUUUGGUUAGAAUUCUAUACUUUCACUUUUCAGUAUUUCUAUUAUUAUUAUUCCGUUUGGUAGGAGACUGAAACGAACAAUGUAUUCCCAAUUGGGUUCGGUGGAAAUUGCUCUUUACUCUAAAUUGAGCGGUGAGGGAUUAUUCAGAUAGAAAUGAAAUCAGAGAUGGAAAAACAAAUUAACAUUACCUCAUGCACCUAAUGAUUCAUAUAUCAUACUUUUUUUUGACUAUGAGUUUUUUCCAUAGUAGCAGAGUUCAAUUUGUUGCAGGAUGAAGUUAGUAGUCUUACCCUUGUGUCUAACAAAUCUGUAGGUGAAAUUCCAGCAGAGAUUGGUAAUCUCCGAAACUUAGUAAGAUUUGCAGUGGAACACAGUGGCCUCACAGGAUCAAUUCCUCCUGCCAUCUUCAACAUCUCUUCUCUUAAAGAUCUUGUUAUUGCAAACAACAGCAUAUUCGGAAGUCUCCCUAUGGAUCUCUGUCAUCGCCUUCCAAAUCUUGAAAUACUUUUUCUUUACGAUAAUAAAUUCGUAGGAAGCAUACCAAGAGAUAUAGGAAACUGCACAAUGUUACAGCAACUGCGUCUAGCAAGAAACAACUUUACAGGUGCCAUACCUCUGGAGAUGGGUAAUCUUAGAUAUCUGAAGGUGCUGAGAUUGCCAGUCAACAGCUUAAUAGGUUCCAUUCCACCAAAUAUCUUCAACAUUUCCACAUUGGAGGAUAUUACUUUAGCUGUAAAUCUCCUCUUUGGCAAUCUUCCAUCUAAUUUAGGUUUAUGGCUCCCUAAUCUUAAACGUCUUCUCCUAGGAGGAAAUGAACUAGAUGGAAUUAUCCCAAGCACUAUUGGAAAUGCUACUAAGCUUGUCCAGUUAGAGUUGAGUGAGAAUUUGUUCACUGGCACUGUACCAAUGACCUUUGGUAACCUUGAAUUUUUGCAGUUGCUUGCCCUAGAAGGUAAUAUUCUUAUUAAUGACCCAUCAACUCCAGAAUUGAGCUUUCUUACUUCUUUGACAAAUUGCAAGCACUUAAUAGUAUUGGCAUUAGCAAAUAAUCCUCUUAAUGGAAUCUUCCCACCUUUUGUUAACCUCUCAACCACUCUUGAAGUUCUUGAAGUGACUAAUUGCAAAAUUACUGGCAUGAUACCGAGGGGACUGAGCAAUUUAAGCAGCUUGAUAUCUUUAAGCCUAAGUGACAAUGACUUGACUGGACCAAUUCCUGAUACAUUCAUAAAUUUGGCAAAGGUACAAAGAUUGUAUCUUAGUGGCAAUAUGAUACAGGAUCCCAUUCCAAAUAAUCUAUGUCGUCUGAGCAAUCUGGGUGAGUUAAG